rnacentral:rRNA from 1 species
CGGUGAAGCAGAGCUUGCUCUGUGGAUCAGUGGCGAACGGGUGAGUAACACGUGAGCAACCUGCCCCUGACUCUGGGAUAAGCGCUGGAAACGGCGUCUAAUACUGGAUAUGAGCUGCGACCGCAUGGUCAGCAGUUGGAAAGAUUUUUCGGUCUGGGAUGGGCUCACGGCCUAUCAGCUUGUUGGUGAGGUAAUGGCUCACCAAGGCGUCGACGGGUAGCCGGCCUGAGAGGGUGACCGGCCACACUGGGACUGAGACACGGCCCAGACUCCUACGGGAGGCAGCAGUGGGGAAUAUUGCACAAUGGGCGAAAGCCUGAUGCAGCAACGCCGCGUGAGGGAUGACGGCCUUCGGGUUGUAAACCUCUUUUAGCAGGGAAGAAGCGAAAGUGACGGUACCUGCAGAAAAAGCGCCGGCUAACUACGUGCCAGCAGCCGCGGUAAUACGUAGGGCGCAAGCGUUAUCCGGAAUUAUUGGGCGUAAAGAGCUCGUAGGCGGUUUGUCGCGUCUGCUGUGAAAUCCCGAGGCUCAACCUCGGGUCUGCAGUGGGUACGGGCAGACUAGAGUGCGGUAGGGGAGAUUGGAAUUCCUGGUGUAGCGGUGGAAUGCGCAGAUAUCAGGAGGAACACCGAUGGCGAAGGCAGAUCUCUGGGCCGUUACUGACGCUGAGGAGCGAAAGGGUGGGGAGCAAACAGGCUUAGAUACCCUGGUAGUCCACCCCGUAAACGUUGGGAACUAGUUGUGGGGUCCAUUCCACGGAUUCCGUGACGCAGCUAACGCAUUAAGUUCCCCGCCUGGGGAGUACGGCCGCAAGGCUAAAACUCAAAGGAAUUGACGGGGACCCGCACAAGCGGCGGAGCAUGCGGAUUAAUUCGAUGCAACGCGAAGAACCUUACCAAGGCUUGACAUAUACGAGAACGGGCCAGAAAUGGUCAACUCUUUGGACACUCGUAAACAGGUGGUGCAUGGUUGUCGUCAGCUCGUGUCGUGAGAUGUUGGGUUAAGUCCCGCAACGAGCGCAACCCUCGUUCUAUGUUGCCAGCACGUAAUGGUGGGAACUCAUGGGAUACUGCCGGGGUCAACUCGGAGGAAGGUGGGGAUGACGUCAAAUCAUCAUGCCCCUUAUGUCUUGGGCUUCACGCAUGCUACAAUGGCCGGUACAAAGGGCUGCAAUACCGCGAGGUGGAGCGAAUCCCAAAAAGCCGGUCCCAGUUCGGAUUGAGGUCUGCAACUCGACCUCAUGAAGUCGGAGUCGCUAGUAAUCGCAGAUCAGCAACGC